rnacentral:misc_RNA from 1 species
AGAGAUCCGACGAACACAUCGACGGUGACGCAAAGUACAAAAAUCAAAAUCAAAAAAAAAUGAGCGUGCCCCUUCUUAGACGGCGCUGCAUCAACACAAGGAAACACACGAGUAGGUCAAUCUGUCCUCUCACCUGUACACAACGAAUUGCAACCCGUUGAUAGACUUGCUGCUUUGGGCGUGGUGGCCGCUCGCACGCCUGCUGGGCGCGUCUUUUUUUUCCUCUUGGCGAGCCCCACGCACAGCCUCGUCUGGGCAUUUUUCCGCUUCGCAUCUAUUCAGGUGUGCGGGGCCUGCCGGCCCCUCCCGCUGCUUUUCCUUUUCGUACGCUGUUCUAGCGAGUGACGCUGCACCUUCUCUCCUUCCUUACUGUUCCUUCUUAGUUGUUGCUGUCUGUGACUCUCGCCACCAUCGCUCUACCGCCUCGCCACCAGAGGGUACCACAUAUAGACGUCAUAAUGGUCGCUUCUAUCACAUUUCGACUAAAGUCCAGCAACCAUGUCGGCACCAUCGACAUGGAAGGCAGCGUCAUGUCGUGUCGUGAUGCGCAGCAAGCGAUUGCAGCAAAGCUGUGCGCGCCGCCGGAAGAGAUCAAUGUGUUUCUUGCAGGCAGCACGGCGCUGUUGCACCCAGAAGAGGAUCUGCCGGCGUAUGCGGUGGUGGAUGUAGUGAGGCAAACGCACAGUGGCAAGCCGCUGUUUCUGACACGUCCCAGGCUUCCGCCGCUGUCUUCCUCUCUAGAUAGCAUCCCUACCUCCUCUGGAUUUGGAGGCCCAGCCGGUUUUGGUGACGGGCAUGCGCUGACGGAAGAAGAGCGACUCGCGCAGCUGCAGGCGGAGGCUGCCCUCGACACGGGCAUUGACGAAGUGAGUAGUCGCUUUCGUCGAGGCGGGCGCGGUGGGCGUGGGGGCAUGGGCGGUGGCCGUGGCGGCAUGGGCGGAGGCGGCGGGAGCGACCUCUUCUUGGGCGGUGGCCGAGGCCGCGGUGACGCGAUGCGCGCCAACAUGGAGGAUAACUUUCGACCUCCGCCAAAGGGGUACAUCUGCCACAACUGCGGCAAGGGCGGCCACCUGAUUCAGCACUGCCCGUCGGCAAAAGGUGGCAAGGCGAUGAAGGUGCUUUCGUUUCCGGUGGGGAUCCCUGAGAGCAUGCUGGUAGAGUGCACUAUGGACGACCCAGCACCCAAGUUCAUCACGCGCGACCACCGCCUGGUGAAGCGCCGCGUAGACCCCUCGGUGUUCACCGCCAUUUCCGUCGCCGGCAUCGGCGGCGCCGUCUCCGGCGAUACCGUGCGCGACGACGAUCUGCAUGAGAUGGCUCUCAGUCGAGAGAAUGCUACGGAGCCUGCGAAGGUAAACAGUGCUUCGGCCACCACUGCGGAAGCAUCGUCGCCAACAAAGCCCACGGAUGUGGCGCUAAGCUGCGUCGUGCACAACGGCGUCGCCCGCGAGGCGAUGAAGCUGCCGUGCUGUGGCCGCCUCAUGUGCCAGGGCUGCUUUACCAAGAUGGCCGAGGAGGCGUUGGACGAGACACGUAGCCUGGACGACGAGGACGACGGCGGCGUAGUCUGUCCUGGCUGCAAGGAGCCGCUCAUCAUGGAUGAGGUGGUGCCGGCAACGGAGGAGCGAGAGAGGAUCAAGCAGCUUCUGCGCGAGCGCAAGCGUGAACGUGACGCGCAAUGAAGUUCGGUGUGUUGCUUUUCCCGUUCUCUGUUUGGCUGCGGCCCUCCUCUGGCGGCGUCGCUUCCCUUGAUGGGGCUGCCAUAUGUUGGCAACUCGUGAUCGAGCGCCUGUUGUUGUCGUCCCUUUGUGCUUUCCUCGUCUAUCCAUGCCCAUCAUUUGACAGGUGGAGAGAACAAGAAAGACCCGCCAAGCCACGUGUACUACUACCCGCUCCCCCCUAAACUCGACGAACAGCAGCGACGAAGGCAAUAACAAAACGCGAAUGUGAGCUGGCGCGUUGACGAUGCGCUUCCAACACUUUAUCACACGCACCAAAGCCCAGCAUCUGUGCACGUCUUGGGAUCGGAUCUUUUUUUUCUCUUCAACCAAAAAGGGAGCCUGGCCGAGAACACAACUGAAGAGAACGGCUCACGUGCGCCUGCGGGGCGGUCACCUUACCGCGAACGCAUCCCUGCAGCUGCGAGUUGCUGACGGUUUCACAGGGGCUGGCGCGGACGACUCUAUCGUUUCUUCGGUCUCGGUGCAGUGAUCGUGCCUCCUCGACCUGGUUCUUGGCCCGCUCUCGUAGAGUGUUGAACUUCAUACCCUUCAUUCUCUGCGUUUCCCUAUUUUUUUUUCCGCAG